GCAUUAAUGGGGUAGUGGUAACCUGGGUCGUUGCCAUUUCAUUGUAAUGUCGACCCGCCGGGGGUUCGAUUCCCCCUUAAUGCA